UACGCAGAGGGCAAGCGUUGUCCGGAUUUAUUGGGUUUAAAGGGUGCGUAGGUGGCUUUUUAAGUCAUGGGUGAAAGCCCGCAGCUCAACUGUGGAAUUGCCUGUGAUACUGAGGAGCUUGAGUGCGGUUGAGGCAGCUGGAAUUGGUGGUGUAGCGGUGAAAUGCAUAGAUACCACCAGGAACACCGAUUGCGAAGGCAGGUUGCUAAGCCGUAACUGACACUGAGGCAAGAAAGCGUGGGGAGCAAACAGG
rnacentral:rRNA from 1 species